AUUGAACGCUGGCGGCAGACCUAACACAUGCAAGUCGAGCGGAGCGGCGGACGGGUGAGGAAUGCCUAGGAAGCUGCCUGGUAGUGGGGGAUAACGUCCGGAAACGGGCGCUAAUACCGCAUACUAGCAGAUGAGCCUAGGUCGGAUUAGCUAGUUGGUGGGGUAAAGGCCUACCAAGGCGACGAUCCGUAACUGGUCGGAGAGGAUGAUCAGCCACACUGGAACUGAGACACGGUCCAGACUCCUACGGGAGGCAGCAGUAGGGAAUAUUGGACAAUGGGCGAAAGCCUGAGCGAGCAAUGCCGCGUGUGUGAAGAAGGUCUUCGGAUUGUAAAGCACUUUAAGUUGGGAGGCGUUACCAACAGAAUAAGCAACGGCUAACUUCGUGCCAGCCGCCGCGGUAAUAC
rnacentral:rRNA from 1 species